GGGCGCUUAGCUCAGUUGGUAGAGCGUCUGCCUUACAAGCAGAAUGUCGGCGGUUCGACCCCGUCAGCGCCCACCA
rnacentral:tRNA from 1 species